rnacentral:rRNA from 1 species
UAUGGGGGGAGCAAGCGUUGUUCGGAUUUACUGGGCGUAAAGGGCGCGUAGGCGGCCAGCACAAGUCAGUUGUGAAAUCUCCGAGCUUAACUCGGAAAGGUCAACUGAUACUGUGCGGCUAGAGUGCGGAAGGGGCAACUGGAAUUCUUGGUGUAGCGGUGAAAUGCGUAGAUAUCGAGAGGAACACCUGCGGCGAAGGCGGGUUGCUGGGCCGACACUGACGCUGGAGGCGACGAAAGGCUAGGGGAGCGAACACGGG